rnacentral:rRNA from 1 species
UGGGGAAUUUUGGACAAUGGGCGAAAGCCUGAUCCAGCAAUGCCGCGUGUGUGAAGAAGGCCUUCGGGUUGUAAAGCACUUUUGUCCGGAAAGAAAUCCUUGGCUCUAAUACAGUCGGGGGAUGACGGUACCGGAAGAAUAAGCACCGGCUAACUACGUGCCAGCAGCCGCGGUAAUACGUAGGGUGCAAGCGUUAAUCGGAAUUACUGGGCGUAAAGCGUGCGCAGGCGGUUUGCUAAGACCGAUNUGAAAUCCCCGGGCUCAACCUGGGAACUGCAUUGGUGACUGGCAGGCUAGAGUAUGGCAGAGGGGGGUAGAAUUCCACGUGUAGCAGUGAAAUGCGUAGAGAUGUGGAGGAAUACCGAUGGCGAAGGCAGCCCCUGGGCCAAUACUGACGCUCAUGCACGAAAGCGUGGGGAGCAAAACAGGAUUAGAUACCCCUGGUAGUCCACGCCCUAAACGAUGUCAACUAGUUGUUGGGGAUUCAUUUCCUUAGUAACUAGCUAACGCGUGAAGUUGACCGCCUGGGGAGUA